AAGGAAUAUUGGUCAAUGGGCGCAAGCCUGAACCAGCCAUGCCGCGUGCAGGAGGACGGCCCUACGGGUUGUAAACUGCUUUUGUACGGGAACAAACCCCCGGUCGUGACCGGGGCUGAGCGUACCGUAAGAAUAAGGAUCGGCUAACUCCGUGCCAGCAGCCGCGGUAAUACGGAGGAUCCAAGCGUUAUCCGGAUUUAUUGGGUUUAAAGGGUGCGUAGGCGGCAUGCUAAGUCAGGGGUGAAAGACGGUGGCUCAACCAUCGCAGUGCCUUUGAUACUGGUGUGCUUGAAUGCGGAUGAGGUAGGCGGAAUGUGGCAAGUAGCGGUGAAAUGCAUAGAUAUGCCACAGAACACCGAUUGCGAAGGCAGCUUACCAAGGCGCGAUUGACGCUGAUGCACGAAAGCGUGGGGAUCAAAC
rnacentral:rRNA from 1 species